rnacentral:tRNA from 1 species
UCCCUGGUGGUCCAGUGGUUAGGACUCUACACCUUCACUGCUGAGAGCCUGGGUUCAAUCACUGGUCAGGGAA